CGCAUCUGUGCAUGCAGCAUAUCAAUAAGCGGAGGAAAAGAAACUAACAAGGAUUCCCCCUAGUAACGGCGAGUGAAGCGGGAAGAGCUCAAAUUUGAAAUCUUAAAGGGUUUCCCUUUACGAAUUGUAGUUUAAAGAAGUGUUUUCUGUUGAGGUUUAGGUAAAAGUUCUUUGGAAUAGGACAUCAUAGAGGGUGAGAAUCCCGUAUUUGACCUUUACUUUCAACUUUGUGAUACACUUUCAAAGAGUCGGAUUGUUUGGGAAUGCAGUCCAAAAUGGGUGGUAAAUUUCAUCUAAAGCUAAAUAUUGGCGAGAGACCGAUAGCGAACAAGUACCGUGAGGGAAAGAUGAAAAGAACUUUGAAAAGAGAGUUAAACAGUACGCGAAAUUGUCAAAAGGGAAGCGUUUGACACCAGUGUUGUUUUUCUGAAAAUCAAUUAAAGAACUGUUUAUGCUAAGUUGUUUAGACUUUAUCAGCUAUCUGCUUAGUUUUGAGCUUUUCUUUAAUGCACUUUUCAGUUAACAAGUCAACAUCAAUUUCUGUUGCUGUAAAAAGCUUGAGGAAGGUGGCUUGAGAUUCGUCUUAAGUGUUUAUAGCCUCUCGCCUAUGCAGUCGGAGAGAUUGAGGUCUGCAGCGUAGAUCCUUCGGGGCUAAAUGCAUUUGUGCUAAGUUAUAGCAUUUUAUAGACAACUUGUUGACUAUGAUUUGUCUUGUAGCUUACUCGCUUAUGUUAUUUUACCUACGCUUAGGAUGUUGAGUCAUCACACAUCUCU
rnacentral:rRNA from 1 species